AGAGAGACAAACCCUGAAUUUUCGUGUCCAACUUUGACUGUCCGUCUUAUAUAAAAUUUUUUUAUAAUUCGUAUUUUUAUUGUUGUUAGAUGAUAAAACAUGAUUAAUAUUUUAUGCGUGACUUGUCUUUUUAUUUUUUUUUAAUAAUUUUUUUAAAUAAGACGGACGAUCAAAUGUUGGGCACGGAAACCAGGGUUUGUCUUUUU
rnacentral:pre_miRNA from 1 species